UACGGAGGAUCCGAGCGUUAUCCGGAUUUAUUGGGUUUAAAGGGUGCGUAGGCGGCCCUGUAAGUUAGAGGUGAAAAGCGCGAGCUCAACUUGCGUCGUGCCUCUAAUACUGUAGGGCUUGAGAUUAGUUGCAGAAGGCGGAAUGUGUAGUGUAGCGGUGAAAUGCUUAGAUAUUACACAGAACACCGAUUGCGAAGGCAGCUUUCUAAGCUAAAUCUGACGCUGAUGCACGAAAGCGUGGGGAGCGAACAGG
rnacentral:rRNA from 1 species